rnacentral:rRNA from 1 species
UACGGGGGGAGCAAGCGUUGUUCGGAUUUACUGGGCGUAAAGGGCGCGUAGGCGGCCACCGCAAGUCGGUUGUGAAAUCUCCGGGCUUAACCCGGAAAGGUCAAUCGAUACUGCGGGGCUAGAGUACAGAAGGGGCAACUGGAAUUCUCGGUGUAGCGGUGAAAUGCGUAGAUAUCUGGAGGAACACCGGUGGCGAAAGCGGCUCACUGGACCUGAUCUGACACUGAGGUGCGAAAGCUAGGGUAGCAAACGGG